UACGAAGGGGGCUAGCGUUGCUCGGAAUCACUGGGCGUAAAGCGCACGUAGGCGGAUUCUUAAGUCAGGGGGUGAAAUCCUGGAGCUCAACUCCAGAACUGCCUUUGAUACUGGGAAUCUCGAGUCCGGGAGAGGUGAGUGGAACUGCGAGUGUAGAGGUGAAAUUCGUAGAUAUUCGCAAGAACACCAGUGGCGAAGGCGGCUCACUGGCCCGGUACUGACGCUGAGGUGCGAAAGCGUGGGGAGC
rnacentral:rRNA from 1 species